rnacentral:rRNA from 1 species
GUUGUAUAGUCAAGUAAUUAAGUGCAUGUGGUGGAUGCCUUGGCAGUCAGAGGCGAUGAAAGACGUGAUAGCCUGCGAAAAGCUCCGGGGAGGCGGCAAAUAUCCUUUGAUCCGGAGAUGUCUGAAUGGGGGAACCCACCUACUUUAAGGUAGGUAUUGCAACAUGAAUACAUAGUGUUGCAAGGCGAACGAGGGGAAGUGAAACAUCUCAGUACCCUUAGGAAAAGAAAUCAAUUGAGAUUCCCUCAGUAGCGGCGAGCGAACGGGGAUCAGCCCAUUAAGUUAUGUGUGUUUUAGUGGAACGCUCUGGGAAGUGCGAACGUAGAGGGUGAUAUUCCCGUACACGAAAGGGCACACAUAAUGAUGACGAGUAGGGCGAGGCACGUGAAACCUUGUCUGAAUAUGGGGGGACCAUCCUCCAAGGCUAAAUACUCCUGACUGACCGAUAGUGAACCAGUACCGUGAGGGAAAGGCGAAAAGAACCCCUGUGAGGGGAGUGAAAUAGAUCCUGAAACCGCAUGCAUACAAGCAGUGGGAGCACCUUCGUGGUGUGACUGCGUACCUUUUGUAUAAUGGGUCAGCGACUUAUAUUCAGUAGCAAGGUUAACCGUAUAGGGGAGCCGUAGAGAAAUCGAGUCUUAAUAGGGCGUUUAGUUGCUGGGUAUAGACCCGAAACCAGGCGAUCUAUCCAUGAGCAGGUUGAAGGUUGGGUAACACUAACUGGAGGACCGAACCCACUGUCGUUGAAAAGCCAGGGGAUGACUUGUGGAUAGGGGUGAAAGGCUAAUCAAGCCUGGUGAUAGCUGGUUCUCCCCGAAAGCUAUUUAGGUAGCGCCUCGGACGAAUACCAUAGGGGGUAGAGCACUGUUUCGGCUAGGGGGUCAUCCCGACUUACCAAACCGAUGCAAACUCCGAAUACCUAUGAGUACUAUCCGGGAGACAGACUGCGGGUGCUAACGUCCGUAGUCAAGAGGAAAACAAUCCAGACCGCCAGCUAAGGCCCCAAAAUCAUAGUUAAGUGGGAAACGAUGUGGGAAGGCAUAGACAGCUAGGAGGUUGGCUUAGAAGCAGCCACCCUUUAAAGAAAGCGUAAUAGCUCACUAGUCGAGUCGGCCUGCGCGGAAGAUGUAACGGGGCUAAAACUAUGUGCCGAAGCUGCGGANNNNNNNNNNNNNNNNNNNNNNNNNNNNNNNNNAUGCUGGAGGUAUCAGAAGUGCGAAUGCUGACGUGAGUAACGACAAAACGGGUGAAAAACCCGUUCGCCGAAAGACCAAGGGUUCCAGUCCAACGUUAAUCGGGGCUGGGUGAGUCGACCCCUAAGGCGAGGCCGAAAGGCGUAGUCGAUGGGAAAAUGGUUAAUAUUCCAUUACUUCUGUGUAAUGCGAUGAGAGGACGGAGAAGGCUAAAUCAGCCUGGCGUUGGUUGUCCAGGUGAAAGGAUGUAGGCAUGUAUCUUAGGCAAAUCCGGGGUACUCUAUGCUGAGAUCUGAUAGCAAGCUGUACUUGUACAGCGAAGUGGUUGAUGCCAUGCUUCCAGGAAAAGUCUCUAAGCUUCAGUUACACAGGAAUCGUACCCGAAACCGACACAGGUGGUCAGGUCGAGUAGACCAAGGCGCUUGAGAGAACUCUGCUGAAGGAACUAGGCAAAAUGGUACCGUAACUUCGGGAGAAGGUACGCUGUUGUUGGUGAUGGAACUCGCUUCCUGAGCUGACGACAGCCGCAGAAACCAGGCCGCUGCAACUGUUUAUUAAAAACAUAGCACUCUGCAAACACGAAAGUGGACGUAUAGGGUGUGAUGCCUGCCCGGUGCUGGAAGGUUAAUUGAUGGGGUUAGCGUAAGCGAAGCUCUUGAUCGAAGCCCCAGUAAACGGCGGCCGUAACUAUAACGGUCCUAAGGUAGCGAAAUUCCUUGUCGGGUAAGUUCCGACCUGCACGAAUGGCAUAAUGAUGGCGGCGCUGUCUCCAGCAGAGGCUCAGUGAAAUCGAAAUCGCUGUGAAGAUGCAGUGUACCCGCGGCUAGACGGAAAGACCCCGUGAACCUUUACUGCAGCUUGACACUGAACUUUGACCUUACUUGUGUAGGAUAGGUGGGAGGCUUUGAAGCUGGAACGCUAGUUCCAGUGGAGCCGUCCUUGAAAUACCACCCUGGUAAUGUUGAGGUUCUAACUCUGUCCCGUGAUCCGGGACGAGGACCGUGUCUGGUGGGUAGUUUGACUGGGGCGGUCUCCUCCUAAAGAGUAACGGAGGAGUACGAAGGUGCGCUCAGCGUGGUCGGAAAUCACGCGUAGAGUAUAAAGGCAAAAGCGCGCUUAACUGCGAGACCCACAAGUCGAGCAGGUACGAAAGUAGGUCUUAGUGAUCCGGUGGUUCUGUAUGGAAGGGCCAUCGCUCAACGGAUAAAAGGUACUCUGGGGAUAACAGGCUGAUACCGCCCAAGAGUUCAUAUCGACGGCGGUGUUUGGCACCUCGAUGUCGGCUCAUCUCAUCCUGGGGCUGAAGCAGGUCCCAAGGGUAUGGCUGUUCGCCAUUUAAAGAGGUACGCGAGCUGGGUUUAGAACGUCGUGAGACAGUUCGGUCCCUAUCUACCGUGGGCGCUGGAAAUUUGAGAGGAUCUGCUCCUAGUACGAGAGGACCAGAGUGGACGAACCUCUGGUGUACCGGUUGUGACGCCAGUCGCAUCGCCGGGUAGCUAUGUUCGGAAGGGAUAACCGCUGAAAGCAUCUAAGCGGGAAGCCUACCUCAAGAUAAGAUUUCCCUAGGACUUUAUGUCCUCUAAAGAGCCGUUCGAGACUAGGACGUUGAUAGGUUGGAUGUGGAAGCAUAGUGAUAUGUGAAGCUGACCAAUACUAAUUGCUCGUGAGGCUUGACUAUACAACACCCAAGCAGUUG